AAAGAACACAAGGUGAGAACAAAAGCUGGGAAAAAGAAUAGGAAAAAGCUUGAGUACAAUCAUUGUUCAGGAUCUCGGUCAUUUGUUGCAACAAUGACUAUACAGCCGGAGUUUAAUGGUUCUGAAAAUCUUGAAUUUUCAGAAUUCUAUAAGAAAACGCAUACUAAGAAGAACAAAGAGUGGAUUGAUCCUAUUUGCGCCGUGAAACAUGUAGGUAUCUAAAAUCUCAAUAAUCAUUU